rnacentral:lncRNA from 1 species
AUCAGAAGCCAUCAACAAUUCUCUGCUCCUGGAGCCUCCAUCUACUGCCUGCUGAAGUUCUGCUGCAGGGAGCAGCCCUACUCCCUGAACCUGCUGGAGCGCUGUCUACGGAGCUGCUAUCAGGCUGAGACAUGGCAGUCUGUGGACCUCAUCACAGCACCCCAGGGCCAUGGGCAUCUUGGUGGAUACACUGAAAAGAGGUACAAAUAUGUUGUCAAGAACAAGGCCGCCUCUACUCUUUCCACCUGCCUACACAGCUGCCGUGUACAUGGCCGGAAUUGAUGGGGAGGAGGAGCAUGCUAAUGCCUUGAAGAUCCUGCUGGAGAUGGGCGAGUUCUUUCAGGUCCAGGAUGACUACCUUGAUCUCUUUGCAGACCCCAGUGUGACCGGAAAGGUCAGCACUGACA